ensembl:snoRNA
AGCACUUACGUUUGUUUUUGUUAAUCUGUAGACAAAGACUUAUAGAUGGGUGCAAAAAUAAAUCCUCUUUUGCAACCUAGAACUCAUUGUUCAGUAUGAGUUUUGAUACAGAUAAGAAGGAACAUG